rnacentral:lncRNA from 1 species
CGUAGUGUAUUGUCUUUGUCCUGGCAGAUUGCAAGCAGAUAGAUGGAGGCUUUGAAGACCACCAGUGGGGGGCGCUCGCCCUGGUCCUGCAGCGACAGGAGGAAGCUUUGCACAGCCUCAAAUAACUCUGCCUCUGAGACAAACCUGUCAACCAAGAAAAGCCUGAGUGAGAAAGGCAGAGUUGGCAGGCCACUGGGCUCUUCUAUUCUGCCUGGCCGCAUCCUUCCUCAGCCCACUGUCCUGCCC